UACGAAGGGGGCUAGCGUUGCUCGGAAUCACUGGGCGUAAAGCGCACGUAGGCGGAUUCUUAAGUCAGGGGUGAAAUCCCGGAGCUCAACUCCGGAACUGCCUUUGAUACUGAGAGUCUCGAGUUCGGGAGAGGUGAGUGGAACUGCGAGUGUAGAGGUGAAAUUCGUAGAUAUUCGCAAGAACACCAGUGGCGAAGGCGGCUCACUGGCCCGAGUACUGACGCUGAGGUGCGAAAGCGUG
rnacentral:rRNA from 1 species